UACGUAGGGGGCUAGCGUUGUCCGGAUUUAUUGGGCGUAAAGAGCGUGUAGGCGGCCUGGUAGGUCUGCUGUGAAAACUCGAGGCUCAACCUCGAGAUGUCGGCGGAAACCAUCUGGCUAGAGUCCGGAAGAGGAGAGUGGAAUUCCUGGUGUAGCGGUGAAAUGACGCAGAUAUCAGGAAGAACACCCGUGGCUAAGGCGGCUCUCUAGUACGGUACUGACGCUGAGACGCGAAAGCGUGGGGAGCGAACAGG
rnacentral:rRNA from 1 species